rnacentral:rRNA from 1 species
UACGAAGGGGGCUAGCGUUGCUCGGAAUCACUGGGCGUAAAGGGUGCGUAGGCGGGUCUUUAAGUCAGGGGUGAAAUCCUGGAGCCCAACUCCAGAACUGCCUUUGAUACUGAGAAGCUUGAGUCCGGGAGAGGUGAGUGGAACUGCGAGUGUAGAGGUGAAAUUCGUAGAUAUUAGGAAGAACACCAGUGGCGAAGGCGGCUCACUGGCCCGGUACUGACGCUGAGGCGCGAAAGCGUGGGGAGCAAACAGG